AGGGGGUGGUGGGCCCAUGGACCCCGAUCAGCAGCAUGUUGGAGCCUAGGAGGCAAAAGGUGGUUACUCCACCCGGAUGCAUCAGGACAGGCACAGGAAGAAGAGGAAAUAUGAGAGCCAAAGCCCUCACCCCAGGCACUGUGCUGCAGACCGGGUGCAGCCACUGUGACCUGCCAGCCCAGCCACUUUGCCGUGAAUUCCAGCAACAAGCACAGGAACAGAACAGCAGCUCCCGCUGACGGGGCAUGCGUACCCCACUCCGGCUCCAGGUCCUGUGCACAGCACCAUUCACACAUGUGCCAAGAAGCCCCUCAAGCAGCAGCUCUGAGGCCCGGGGCUACGUAGGGAAGAAGUGGGAGGUGAGCAACAAGGAGACAGUGUGUCCAUCCAGGAAGCGGCUGUAAGGAAAGGAAGCAGAGGCACAGUGAAGUCAGAUAAUUCAUCUGGAGUCACACAGCUGGGGACCAGCAGAACUGGGAUUUAAACAUGAAGUCUGUCCAACUUGGAGCUAAAGCACUUACCUGAGAGAAGAUGGAAGGAAAAAAAUCCACAAGCAGAAGUCUCUCACCACUGCCUCUAGCUAUAACCUGUAUCUGACACCACAAAACAUCUCUGGGCGCGGCGGUCUUCCCCCACCCCCUCAAAUAUGUCCAGCUCAGUUCCUGUGAGUUUAAUGCAUGUUAAACGCAGCACUGCUUGUUCUUCAAGGCAGUUAAGGAAGGAGGCCCUUCUGGUAUACCCCGAGCACACUGGGGUUCCUGGAUCAUUUCAUUAGGAAAAUUGCUCAGCGGCUCCAAAGAAUCUGGAGCUCCCUGGUCUAUCUCCCAGCCUCUCAAGCCUCCUCCAGCAGGGUCCCGCCCCAAAUUCUCCACAUUCCCCUACUCCAAAAUCUACAGAAUGGACCAUUUAAAGCUUGAGCCAAGAGAUACAGGAAACUCACCCAUUAAAAACAGAGGGAGGGUUGCUUUGUUCAGAAGGUCAGGAUACUGGGCGCUCUGGCGGCCAAGCACAGAUACCUUUUCAUUCCAUGCACACUGCAGCUGUGUAAUCUCAGAAUGGAUAUUUAGGGAAAGGCUUGGGAGCAGGAGGGCUGGAAAAACAAGGCGCCUUCCCUGUGACAAGAGCAAUAUUUACACAGGGUUUGAAGCAGGCGGUUCUGUACCUCUCCCCUCCUGGCUAGGAGCUUCCCUGCAAGAGCAACUCCUUCUCUCAGCAGCGUCCAGCACUUGCAGAGCACAGCCUGAAACCCAAGCUCCCAAAAAGGUGUGCGAACAGCCAAAAGGAAAUGGGAGAGGGCCCAGGCACAGCGGCAUGAGCCAGCAGGAGGGUGAGAUGCUUCCUGGCCAGUGUGGGAGACCCCAGCAGCUGUUGUGAGGCCUGGCCUGAAGCCUGCCACGCGCUCCAAGUGCCUAGAGGACCCCAGCUGGGCCCUCAAAGCCUCCAUAACAGUGACGCACUCACUGCGCACCACCCGAUGCCACCUGUUCAAAUAACUGCGAUUCACAGCAGGAAUUCUCACUACAGCCAGGAAAAGGAGGGGAAGAUCUGUUCUGACAUGGAAAGAUCUUUAAGAUGUCAAAGCAAAAACACAAGCUAUACCACACAGUGGAUACAGUAAGAUUCUUUCUGUAAGACAAAAGCAAAACUCUGUGUCUGCUUGUCUAAUGAACCAAUUAGCUAACCAACCCAGCAACCAAGAAUGAAGACAGACAAUGAGAUGACAGACAGGGUGAAGGUCCUCCCUUCCCAGAGACGUUUGCUUCUGGACCCAGGUGGGGGAGGAGGAGAGAAGAUGGAGUGGGUCUCACUUUAUUUACUUCUUCACUGCCUGUAUCUUUUAUAAUCAAACAUGUCCCAUCUGUGGCAAAGAAUAAAAAUAAAUUGUAAUGGGUCCAAAAAGCUUCAGAAUUCUUUGAACAUUUCAGUCUUUUCUCCUCCUCCAUUAAGAUCUGAGAGUAAAAAGAGGAGGAGAUAGGCUGGGACAGGUCUUAUUGCUGCUUCAGUGCAUUUCUGGGAGCCUGGUACCAUGAAAGAACAGAUGGGUAGGAGCCCACUUGGACGCAUCAUGAAUUCUGUGCAGGCAAAGAAACCCUCAAAAUUAAUGACACUGUGCUGUGUUCCCUGACUAUCAGCAUCCUGUUCUGAAAGUCAAGAAACUUGGCAGAGGAAGGAAUCUGAAUCACAACUAACAGUAAUGAGGUGUGAUAACACAGCCAUCGAGCUCUCACUCUGGAUUUAUCGCGGGUCAAACCGCAACUCCCAAAACAGCUUUGGACAGCAAGCGCCUCCGAAGUGUGCAUGACCCCAGUUUCCACGGGGAGCGCGUGUAAAAAGCUUCCAUGGGGCUUGAGGAUUUCCAUCUGGCUUGGUCCCUGGAGCUGGUUCAGUUAAGGCUUCAAGAAGCAGAGGAGUGGGUUACCUGUGGUGCCCCCUUCGAGUCCCGCGCCAUAGGCGGACACCAGGGCAGGGUUCCCCGCUUGUCCAGGCUCCCCAACGCGCACUUUGAAGGGGCUUCCAACCACGUGGCUCCCAUUGAACUUGACAUCGAUGGUGUGGACACCAUUCUCAUGAGGGAUGAAGCGAACAGCAUACUUAUCUAGGAGAAUGAGCAAAGGCACAGGGUGAAAUCAAGCAAAUGGACACCCCUGAGUUCAGUGAGGACAAAGGAUGGAGGCCAAGCCGAGAUGGCCCAUUUAAAAUCAACAGUUCUACAGGGAGCCUGGCACUCAGCAUCCUGGAUUUCAGAACCAGACAGACCCCCUGGGUAUCCCUCAUCAGCCCCAAGGGAAACGCAUCCACAUUGCAAAUCCUAUAAACACAGGACAAGACUCUGACCCCUGCCUCAGAACACUUCCUUUCUUUAGAAAACCUCACUUCUUCAAUGUGAAAUUCUGUGAAUGCUGUUACUAAUCCUGUCACGAGAUGAAUCUCAUUUCACCAAAAUUAAAUUAUGUUUUUCCACUAAAAUGAUGAUACAAGUUGAAGACACAGCACUCUGAAAUUGGAAGACCUCACCACUUAAGGCUCCACAGUGGCUUACUCAGCUGAACUCUAGGUUACUACUCUUUACUUUGUUCACCCACUGGGGGGUUCAGUUUGUUUUUAAACAUUGGGAGAUGGCCAUUCUAACUACUGUUGAAUGUCUCUGUUUUGGGAAGGCAUAACAAGAAAUAAAAAAGAAUAUAUAUGAAGGGAAAAAAGAAAA